rfam:Picea glauca, whole genome shotgun sequence.
AUGUACAUGCCUACAACAUAGCGUUAAUGCAUCGUAUCCCAUUAGAACUCUGCAGUUAAGCGCAUGCAGGCUAGAGUAGUAGUGGGAUGGUUGACCACCUUAGAAGUCCUAGUCUUUUACAUG